AUGUCUCGGCUAUCCAGCAUGAGUUUAAUUCCGAACUUCACAGUUGCCAAAGGUUCUAAGUGCCAUAGUUGUGUGCAAUCGAAGCAACCUCGAAAGCCUCAUAAGGCUGCCGAGGAGAGAAACUUGGCACCUCUAGAACUCAUACAUUCUGAUCUUUGUGAGAUGGAUGGUGUGUUGACAAAAGGUGGAAAGAGAUAUUUCAUGACUUUGAUUUAUGAUGCGACUAGAUUUUGCUAUGUUUAUUUGUUGCAAACUAAAGAUGAAGCAUUAGACUACUUUAAAAUCUAUAAAGCUGAAGUUGAAAAUCAACUAGAAAGAAAGAUCAAACGUCUUAGGUCCGAUCGUGGUGGAGAGUAUUUUCCCAAAGUUUUUGAUGAAUUUUGUGAGGAACAUGGUAUUAUUCAUGAGAGGACGCCUCCCUAUUCACCUCAAUCAAAUGGAGUGGCCGAGAGGAAAAACCGCACAUUGACUGACUUGAUGAAUGCCAUGUUAGACACUGCUGGUUUAUCUAAGGCAUGGUGGGGGGAGGCUCUAUUGACUUCAUGUCAUGUCCUGAAUAGAGUUCCCAACAAUAAUAAGGAGAAAACCCCUUAUGAGGAGUGGGUUGGGAGAAAACCAUCACUUUCUUAUUUGCGCACUUAG
rnacentral:rRNA from 1 species